CCUACGGGUGGCAGCAGUGAGGAAUAUUGGUCAAUGGCCGGAAGGCUGAACCAGCCAAGCCGCGUGAAGGACGAAGGUGCCAAGCAUUGUAAACUUCUUUUGUCAAGGGACAAAAUCAGGCUCGAGAGCCUGACCGAGGGUACUUGAAGAAAAAGCAUCGGCUAACUCCGUGCCAGCAGCCGCGGUAAUACGGAGGAUGCGAGCGUUAUCCGGAUUUAUGGGGUGUAAAGGGUGCGUCGGCGGGCUGUUAAGUCAGCGGUAAAAGCCCGGGGCUCAACCCCGGCGCGCCGUUGAAACUGGCUGUCUUGAGAUGUCGAGAGGUAUGCGGAAUGCGCAGUGUAGCGGUGAAAUGCUUAGAUAGUGCGCAGAACUCCGAUUGCGAAGGCAGCAUACCGGCGGCGAUCUGACGAUGAGGCACGAAAGCGUGGGUAUCGAACAGGAUUAGAUACCCGGGUAGUC
rnacentral:rRNA from 1 species